rnacentral:lncRNA from 1 species
AUGUCAUUCUGUCUUUGCCAAAAGUUUUAAUAUGCCCCAAGUAUUUUCUUUUGAAAGGGUGGGUUCAUUUCUUGAAAAAUGCCAAUUAAAGAAAAAGAAAGAAACAUGGGAGUCCAACACCAGGGGAACAAUUCAGAAAGUUUUACAGCACUUCCUCUCCAGGUGAGUUGCCAAAACAGGGAUACAUCGAAUCCUCUCUAUGGUUCUGUAGGUACCAGAAGAACGUCCUCACCUAGAAUAUGCUUCCCUGUCCUUGGUUCCCAGGAUGUAUGCUGAAAUCUUUUAAGGGAAAUUAUAAACAUCGUGAGGUGGAGUGCCCCCAGGAGGGUGCCAGGCCAGGCGAAGAUGCUCUGCUAUUCUAAAUACGUUCCAGGGGCCAUGCAGACUUGGACAAUAAAAAUAACGGACUGAAGAUCGGAAGUAUGUACCCUAUUUUCUGAGCAGUGCCUAAACCUCCCAAGCUCUUAUGUGACCCUAGGGAGAGGAAGCCCAUAACGACAGGGAUUUAAUUUCUCCAGUCUGGCAAUCUCAGGGGCAGAGCGAAGGCAGUGUAGGCAAUACACAGCAAUGGUUUACACCCUCGAAUUCUGGAAUCUACCCGCUGUGCCAUGUUGAACCCAUCUUGCUUUUCCUUCUCGCAGGUACUUUCCGCCACGCUCACCCUUCGUGACAAAUUUAUUGAGCGCCCGCCUGCAGGCCAGGGCCGUGAGAAGCAGAGAAGGAAAACACCAACUCCUUGCCCUAUAGGACUUAAUAGCUAACUCAUAAAAUAAUUACUGUUUACUAGACACUGUUG